UGGGGAAUAUUGCACAAUGGGCGCAAGCCUGAUGCAGCCAUGCCGCGUGUAUGAAGAAGGCCUUCGGGUUGUAAAGUACUUUCAGCGGGGAGGAAGGGAGUAAAGUUAAUACCUUUGCUCAUUGACGUUACCCGCAGAAGAAGCACCGUCUAACUCCGUGCCAGCAGCCGCGGUAAUACGGAGGGUGCAAGCGUUAAUCGGAAUUACUGGGCGUAAAGCGCACGCAGGCGGUUUGUUAAGUCAGAUGUGAAAUCCCCGGGCUCAACCUGGGAACUGCAUCUGAUACUGGGAAGCUUGAGUCUCGUAGAGGGGGGUAGAAUUACAGGUGUAGCGGUGAAAUGCGUAGAGAUCUGGAGGAAUACCGGUGGCGACGGCGGCCCCCUGGACGAAGACUGACGCUAAGGUGCGAAAGCGUGGGGAGCAAACAGG
rnacentral:rRNA from 1 species